CCUACGGGGGGCAGCAGUGAGGAAUAUUGGUCAAUGGACGAGAGUCUGAACCAGCCAAGUAGCGUGAAGGAUGAAGGCCCUAUGGGUUGUAAACUUCUUUUAUAAAGGAAUAAAACGAGGCACGUGUGCCCUUUUGCAUGUACUUUAUGAAUAAGGAUCGGCUAACUCCGUGCCAGCAGCCGCGGUAAUACGGAGGAUCCGAGCGUUAUCCGGAUUUAUUGGGUUUAAAGGGGGCGUAGAUGGGUUGUUAAGUCAGUUGUGAAAGUUUGCGGCUCAACCGUAAAAUUGCAAUUGAAACUGGCAGUCUUGAGUACAGUAGAGGUAGGCGGAAUUCGUGGUGUAGCGGUGAAAUGCUUAGAUAUCACGAAGAACCCCGAUUGCGAAGGCAGCUUACUAAACUGUGACUGACAUUGAUGCUCGAAAGUGUGGGUAUCAAACAGGAUUAGAUACCCCUGUAGUC
rnacentral:rRNA from 1 species